rnacentral:rRNA from 1 species
ACGGAAGGCAGCAGUGGGGAAUAUUGGGCAAUGGGGGAAACCCUGACCCAGCAACGCCGCGUGAAGGAAGAAGGCCUUCGGGUUGUAAACUUCUUUUACCAGGGACGAACAAAUGACGGUACCUGGAGAAAAAGCAACGGCUAACUACGUGCCAGCAGCCGCGGUAAUACGUAGGUUGCAAGCGUUGUCCGGAUUUACUGGGUGUAAAGGGCGUGUAGGCGGAGCUGCAAGUCAGAUGUGAAAUCCCGGGUCUCAACCCCGGAACUGCAUUUGAAACUGUAGCCCUUGAGUAUCGGAGAGGCAAGCGGAAUUCCUAGUGUAGCGGUGAAAUGCGUAGAUAUUAGGAGGAACACCAGUGGCGAAGGCGGCUUGCUGGACGACAACUGACGCUGAGGCGCGAAAGCGUCGGGAGCAAACAGGAUUAGAUACCCUGGUA